rnacentral:rRNA from 1 species
UACGGAGGGGGCUAGCGUUGUUCGGAAUUACUGGGCGUAAAGCGCACGUAGGCGGCUUUGUAAGUUAGAGGUGAAAGCCCGGAGCUCAACUCCGGAACUGCCUUUAAGACUGCAUCGCUUGAACAUCGGAGAGGUAAGUGGAAUUCCGAGUGUAGAGGUGAAAUUCGUAGAUAUUCGGAAGAACACCAGUGGCGAAGGCGACUUACUGGACGAUUGUUGACGCUGAGGUGCGAAAGCGUGGGGAGCAAACAGG